rnacentral:rRNA from 1 species
ACGCACGCUGGCGGCGUGCUUCACACAUGCCAGUCGAACGCAGAGCGAUGGAAGCUUGCUUCUAUCAAUCUUAGUGGCGAACGGGUGAGUAACGCGUAAUCAACCUGCCCUUCAGAGGGGGACAACAGUUGGAAACGACUGCUAAUACCGCAUACGAUCUAAUCUCGGCAUCGAGGAUAGAUGAAAGGUGGCCUCUACAUGUAAGCUAUCACUGAAGGAGGGGAUUGCGUCUGAUUAGCUAGUUGGAGGGGUAACGGCCCACCAAGGCGAUGAUCAGUAGCCGGUCUGAGAGGAUGAACGGCCACAUUGGGACUGAGACACGGCCCAGACUCCUACGGGAGGCAGCAGUGGGGAAUCUUCCGCAAUGGACGAAAGUCUGACGGAGCAACGCCGCGUGAGUGAGGACGGCCUUCGGGUUGUAAAGCUCUGUUAAUCGGGACGAAAGGCCUUCUUGCGAAUAGUGAGAAGGAUUGACGGUACCGGAAUAGAAAGCCACGGCUAACUACGUG